GAUGAACGCUAGCGGCAGGCUUAAUACAUGCAAGUCGAGGGGCAGCACGGUUAGCAAUAACUGGUGGCGACCGGCGCACGGGUGCGUAACACGUAUACAAUCUACCUUAAACAGGGGGAUAGCCUUUCGAAAAGAGAGAUUAAUACCCCGUAAUAAAUUGAACGGCAUCGUUUGAUUUUGAAAGCUCCGGCGGUUUGAGAUGAGUAUGCGUCUGAUUAGCUAGUUGGUGAGGUAACGGCUCACCAAGGCGACGAUCAGUAGGGGAUCUGAGAGGACUAACCCCCCACACUGGUACUGAGACACGGACCAGACUCCUACGGGAGGCAGCAGUAAGGAAUAUUGGUCAAAUGGAGGCAACUCUGAACCAGCCAUGCCGCGUGCAGGAUGACGGCCCUAUGGGUUGUAAACUGACUUUUAUACAAGAGAAAACCCUGGUA
rnacentral:rRNA from 1 species